UGAUCAGGAUCAGGAUCAGGAUCAUUCUGUGACUCCACUAUCGCCGGAAUUUACGGAAGAAGUUGGUGACAGAAUCACAGUUGCAGUUGGGAAGGUUCAUAAAACACUGCCUUUGCUUCAUUUCUGUUUCCGGAAGUUCGGCUGUCGAGAGAUCGUUCUUCUUCAUGUCCAUCAACCUUCUUCCACAAUUCCCACCCUCUUAGGAAAACUGCCUGCCAGUCAAGCAAACGAAGGAAUGGUGUCUGUGCAUCGGAGAGAGGAGAUGGAACAGACAAGAAAACUUCUAUUCAAUUACUUGGCCAUUUGCCGGAAAGCUCAGGUGAUCUCUCUGAUAACUCUUUUCUUUCCCCCGCUAGUAGUUUGGUAAGUGUGAAAUAUAACAUGAAUCCGUAAUGGUAGUCUCUUUACACAUCCUUGGAUAUUCAUAAAGCAAAGGUAAAUUUUUGUUGUCUCAACUAUUAUAACAAUUUUCUACCAAAAAAAAAAAAACUAUUAUAACAA